GACGUAGGGGGCCAGCGUUGCUCGGAAUUACUGGGCGUAAAGGGUUCGUAGGCGGUGCGGUAAGUCGGAAGUGAAAUCUCCAGGCUCAACUUGGAGGCUGCUCCCGAAACUGCCGUGCUAGAGUACGGGAGAGGCGAGUGGAAUUGCAGGUGUAGCGGUGAAAUGCGUAGAUAUCUGCAGGAACACCCGUGGCGAAGGCGGCUCGCUGGACCGUAACUGACGCUGAGGAACGAAAGCUAGGGGAGCAAACAGG
rnacentral:rRNA from 1 species